UACAGAGGUCUCGAGCGUUGUUCGGAUUCAUUGGGCGUAAAGGGCGCGUAGGCGGCGGGGUAAGUCUGGUGUGAAAUCUUGGAGCUUAACUCCGAAACUGCAUUCGAUACUGCCGUGCUUGAGGACUGGAGAGGAGACUGGAAUUUACGGUGUAGCGGUGAAAUGCGUAGAUAUCGUAAGGAAGACCAGUGGCGAAGGCGGGUCUCUGGACAGUUCCUGACGCUGAAGCACGAAGGCCAGGGGAGCAAACGGG
rnacentral:rRNA from 1 species